rnacentral:misc_RNA from 1 species
UCGUGAAUUUCCGCUGUCGCCUGGCGGUCACCAAACCUGGUCAGCACUGUGGGUAAGGACCAAGCUCGGAUCGAGUCAACACGCGUUGGCACCUUCUCUCACGAGUCAGCAUACUCUGACACAGGCGGGCUCGCCUCUGUGCACGUGUCUGCUUCGCAAAUUCAGCUCAUCCUUAUCCUUCAGAGCAAAACGUACUCUGCAUAAUGCGGCUGCUUCUCCUGCCAUUGUCGUUCUGUCUCCUGCUUCUGUUUAGUGGCAGUGAAGGCUGGUCCAUUUUUAUUGACGGGAAAACCGUAAAGGUGCUUGACCAAAAAGGCACUUGGGAUCAGAUGAACAUCGCCUGCCGCACUGAGGGCGCUCACAUGGUGAAGAUAGACAGUGCUGACUUCAUGUACGGAAUUGUGAAGUUCUUGAAGCAGCAAGGAUUGGCAAACCGCGACUUCUGGAUCGGUGCCACGGAGGUCGGUCACGAGGGCGUCUUCCGCUGGCAGGACGGGACGAUUGUCAAGCAGGGCACUCCUUUCUGGGGAGUCCAUGGCGAGGAACAAGAACCGAACGGGGGUAGUUUGGAAACGUGCGUGUUUAUGGCAAAGAGCAAGUACUUUUACUGGGCUGACGCACUUUGUGAUAGCAAUUUCGGAGUGAUUUGCGAGUUUCCAAGGGAUACUGAUCUAAACUAAAUCCUUUAUUUAGCGGAACAAGAGAGUGAGUGAGAGAGAGAGAGAGAGAGAGAGAGAGAGAGAGAGAGAGAGAGCAUAAGACCAUGAAUCUUCUUCCAAAUACAUAAUGGAAAUUAUCAGCAACCUUUUGGAUUAUUCCUUUGCUACUGUUCUAAAUCGAAAUGAUAUUCCGGACACUGCACUGGCAAUUCUGCAAGAAUGAUACUUACGCUGUACGAAUGACUAUGACAAGUUACAGUGCAUGACGGUUUCGCACACUACAGAGCUCUCGGAGACACUCAGGCAACCAGCAAGUGAGUUGUCAACGAAACAGGGAUUACGAAUUAAUUGCUAGAGACGAUAUUUUUGUCUCUCCUUUGUUUCUCAACCGUUAUCGUCGAGGCUUCAGUGACAUUCUCUUAUUGUGCAGAACUCUGGUCACUUGUUAUUUUCAGAUAUCACAUGUCACAUCUAUGUAUUCUAGUCUUACUGCUUGUUCAUCCACACCAUUUGAAUAAAGGUACAUGGGGUUA